GAUGGGACAACUUUCCGGAAAAGUUCCAGAUGUUAAAGCAGACAUUAAUGAGAGCCCACCCAGCACUUAUGAAAAUGUGCAUAACAUGAAAACAAUGGAUAACAGUCCUUCUCUUCCAAGUCCCAGCACAGAUCACCAUUACAUGGGUCUUCAGCCUGAAAAGCAGUCAAUCUACCACUCCCUCCAAGGAAAAAUGGCAGCUUAGCAUAAGAUGGAGAAAUGUUUAUAUUGGGACAGUCAUUUGUGAUCACUGGACAGCUCCUUCAGUUGCAGUUAUAGGCAAAAUGCAAUAUUUCUAUGAUUUGUUAUUUUGUUUUAAAAUAUUUAAAGCUACAAUUAUCAGAUAGUUUUUCUAAAGCUGAAACACACAUUUAAAUAUUAGCAAAGUGAAACGACUCUAAUACAUGUUGUCUUUAAUUCCAGCUUCAUGAGUUGUCAUUGCCUACACUUCUUUAAACAACCAUCUUUGUGUUACUAAUUUAUACUUUAGUGACUAAAAAAUUAAAGGUCAUUUUUAAAAUAUGUGUUUCACACUUGGCAGAACACAUUACUGUCUAUAUGUUAGGUGUCUGAGGGGCUUAGAAACUUUGUUUUUAGGGUACCUUGAAGAUCUGGUUUGGAAUCAGACAAUCCAACUGCUGUUUGUGUUUGAUGUGCUUCUCUUUAUAUCAGACCACAGAGAA